rnacentral:lncRNA from 1 species
GGGUGUGUUUGGUUCGGUGGAAAAGGUCGGAAAGGAAAACGUUUUCUUGGAAAGUUGAAAUUCCAGCUGUUUGGUUCAACAGGAAAAUGAAAAACAUUUGGAAAGCAAAUUCCGUGCGAUUAUAAGCUAGUUUAAAAUUUUGGAAAAUGGACACCUUUUUAAUUUUAAGGAAACCACUUUCCUUUUUCUCCUCUCUCCGUCUCGAUUUCUUUUCUCUCUCCCCGAAAUCAAAAUCGAAAACUAAUCUUCUUCUUCUUCCUCUCUCUCUCUUUCUCUUUCAUUCACUGAGAAACCAUUAAAGAGUUCUUCAUUGUAGUCAAGUUUCUGCAACUCUACUACUUCUUCGUGUGUGUUCAAUCGUUCAUCAUCUUCAAAAAGGUAAGAUCAGAUCUUCAUGACUUCUUCGUAUUUCUUUUCAAUCAAUUGUUGAUUGUGUAAAGUUAGAGUCUUUGUAAUUAACAGACCCAAAGAGGAGGCUUCAGUUUUAGUCUUUUGCUUACUCAGUUGUAAACGAAACAACAAUUCCCAGAAUUGGUUAAUUCAAUAAAUUACAAAUUUGAUUUGGAAAAAGUUGGAUUCACUGUAAUGACAGACCCCCAAAUUGGAAAUUGAAGGUUUUAUCUCCCACCCAACUUCAAUCAUUGUAUGUCAU